AUUAAUUCGAUGCAACGCGAAAAACCUUACCUACCCUUGACAUGUCUGGAAUUCCGAAGAGAUUUGGAAGUGCUCGCAAGAGAACCGGAACACCGGUGCUGCAUGGCUGUCGUCAGCUCGUGUCGUGAGAUGUUGGGUUAAGUCCCGCAACGAGCGCAACCCUUGUCAUUAGUUGCUACGAAAGGGCACUCUAAUGAGACUGCCGGUGACAAACCGGAGGAAGGUGGGGAUGACGUCAAGUCCUCAUGGCCCUUAUGGGUAGGGCUUCACACGUCAUACAAUGGUCGGGACAGAGGGUCGCCAACCCGCGAGGGGGAGCCAAUCCCAGAAACCCGAUCGUAGUCCG
rnacentral:rRNA from 1 species